UGAAACUGACGCUGAGACACGAAAGCGUGGGGAGCAAACAGGAUUAGAUACCCUGGUAGUCCACGCUGUAAACGAUGAAUACUAGGUGUUGGGGCCGUAGGCCUCGGUGCCGCAGUUAACGCAAUAAGUAUUCCACCUGGGGAGUACGGCCGCAAGGCUGAAACUCAAAGGAAUUGACGGGGGCCCGCACAAGCGGUGGAGCAUGUGGAUUAAUUCGACGCAACGCGAAGAACCUUACCAGGCUUUGACAUCCCUCUGAAUACUGCAGAGAUGCGGUAGGCCUUCGGGACAGAGGAGACAGGUGGUGCAUGGUUGUCGUCAGCUCGUGUCGUGAGAUGUUGGGUUAAGUCCCGCAACGAGCGCAACCCUUAUUGACAGUAGCCAGCAAGUAAGGUUGGGCACUCUGUUAAGACUGCCGGGGAUAACUCGGAGGAAGGUGGGGAUGACGUCAAAUCAUCAUGCCCCUUAUAGCCUGGGCUUCACACGUGCUACAAUGGUUGUCACAAAGAGACGCGAACCCGCGAGGGAGAGCAAAGCUCAAAAAGGCAGUCUCAGUUCGGAUUGCAGGCUGCAACCCGCCUGCAUGAAGCUGGAAUCGCU
rnacentral:rRNA from 1 species